UACGUAGGGGGCUAGCGUUGUCCGGAAUCAUUGGGCGUAAAGCGCGCGUAGGCGGCCGCUUAAGUCGGAUGUGAAAGCCCCUGGCUCAACUGGGGAAGUGCACCCGAAACUGAGUGGCUUGAGUACUAAAGAGGGUCGCGGAAUUCCCGGUGUAGAGGUGAAAUUCGUAGAUAUCGGGAGGAACACCGGUGGCGAAGGCGGCGACCUGGGUCGAGACUGACGCUGAGGCGCGAAAGCGUGGGGAGCAAACAGG
rnacentral:rRNA from 1 species